AUGGUCGCCCUUUUUUCUGCGGCAACAGUACAGGACAGUUGGAAAGGAUCCAGAGUGCUCUGUGAGUAUGAGAUGCACUAUAUUUUCCAGAAAUUCCUGACUUUAUUGCGGAUGGAAUUUUUGUUUUUUCACCGGUUUUGCUGUGUACUGUGUGCUAAAAGCAAUGACCGCCAUAGGAUCCUAUUUUGGAAUCUGCACGGAGCUGGUGAGUGGAGAGCUAACGGUGCUUUUGAGGAGGAGGUUUUGUGGAAGAGGUUGGUGUUGAUGGGUGCGAUGCUGGCUGCUGACACUGUUUUGUGCACUGUGUGUUUUUGUUGCAGAUGGUGACUAGGACCCCGGUGACUACAGGAACAUCCCAGCUAGCUGAUGGGGGUCGGCAGUUUUGUGUUGAGGACAGAUGCAGGCCCCUAGCCCUAUGAAAGCUAAGUGGAGGGACCAGGGCUGGGGAGGGAUUGGGAGGAGGAGGGGACAAGUUGGCAAUUGUAGGAGGGGUUUUGAAGUUGUGUGGUUUUAGAAAGAACAUGUGCCUGGUGGCUCUGAGUGUUACAUGGCAGCUCAGUGAAAUGUUUCUAGUUUUGCAGGCUGUGUGGGCUGCCUUUUGAAAUGGGUGAGUGUUUGAGGUGAGCUGGGUAGUAGAGAGGAGGCACACUGGGCUGGUGUUUUCUUGCACAUUCAAUGGUAUUUUUGUGUCUCUUGGUUUCUUAGGUACCACAAACAGAUUGGCUCUGGAAUCCAUGCAGAGAUUUCUGCCUGGCUUUCAGGGGCACAUUUCCCUGGCAGUCCGGUAGCAUCUCUCUGGUGCAGUGCUGCCAGCCAGAUGUCCCUCUCCCUUGGGUAGGACAGGAAAAAGCCCCCGGUCAAAUGAUGACUGUGCCUUUUGGAGACGGAGAGCGCAAUGGUGUCGGUUCAGAGCUGGGCCAGUUAAAUUAGUGCCAAAGGAAAGUCAAACACUUUUAUAGUGUAUUUUUAUUGACUGUAUCUAAACGUACACAGAGCUUUCCAGGGAAAGGGAAGGGAGGAGGCGCUUCCCCACACCAGGCAGAGGGUUUGUUUCACUGUUAGGCUGAGAAGGUGUUCCAAGUGGCAUCGGUCAGUCUUAAUAGGGACUUGAAGCGUCAGGAUGGCUCUGGCUUUGGCAGGCUGUACCAUCUUUGGAGCUGAGCUGUUUCCCCAGAAUCAUCCUGUAACUCAGCUUCUCUCCUGUCCCUCAGUCUGAGGGAAUUCCUCUACUCUGUGCUGUUUUGUUUGAUGUUGAACUACAGUUGGGGAUUGUUGUUUUGCAGGUGCUUCGUUGUCCACAUCUCACGCUGCUUGAUAGCUGCCCCAGCCCAGGUUUGCAGCCAGUCGUGGAGCCGCCUGAGGGGAAGGGACCAGUCCUGGGUCUGGGCAUUUGGUACUGUCUUUUUGCGGUGAAUAAAAUGUGGGGGGGAGGGUAUUUGGAGAGUGAU
rnacentral:lncRNA from 1 species